rnacentral:misc_RNA from 1 species
GAUGAAGAACGCAGCGAAAUGCGAUACGUAAUGUGAAUUGCAGAAUUCAGUGAAUCAUCGAAUCUUUGAACGCAUAUUGCGCUCUCUGGUAUUCCGGAGAGCAUGCUUGUUUGAGUAUCAGUAAACACCUCAACUUCCAUAUCUUUUUUGAAAUGGGAGUUGGACUUGAGUGAUCCCAACGCUUUUCCUCACCGAAAAGUGGCGGGUUACUUGAAAUGCAGGUGCAGCUGGACUUUUCUCUGAGCUAUAAGCAUAUCUACUUAGUCUGCCUAAAAAACAGAUUAUUACCUUUGCUGCAGCUAACAUAAAGGAGAUUAGUUCUUGUGCUGACUGAUGCAGGAUUCACAAAGACAGGCUUCGGCCGACUUUGUAAACUCGAUCUCAAAUCAAGUAAGACUACCCGCUGAACUUAAGCAUAUCAAUAAGCGGAGGA